CUGGCCUCAAGUGAUCCUCCCACCUAGGCCUCCCAAAGUGUUGGGAUUACAGGUGUGAGCCAUCCUGUCAGUUCUGUCACAUUGUUCUUCAUUAGGGUGUGUCUUAUCCCUGUCAUGUUUCAUGGGGAAUGUAGAGAGAAGUGGAUUUGAAACAGUUUCUAGGGAGAUAGAGUUUCUUUUUGUCAAAUAUAGAUUUCUAUUUAGAGGGAGUAGAUUCAGCUCUUUUUGUCCUGGGGAUUUACCUGAAGGCUUUAGGCAGAGAGAAGGACACAUAAAAGUAGACAAGGUUGAUCAGAGAUUAGUAUAUGGAGAGCUAUGGCAAAAAAAAAAAAAAAAAAAAUCCUGUCAGAACGUAUUCCUAACUUUGCACAAAUGCCAGAAGUACUGGUUCCUCUGGCUUCCUCCUCAGUGCUUGUGCUGAUCAGAACAGAUACAACAUGCUGUUUUGGUUAGUUCCCUAUGUGUCUCUCUGUCCCUCCGGGCUGGAAGCUCCUUAGAGGCUGGGAGUACGGCUGAUUCACUUAUGUUCCCAGCCCCUGGAAUAAUGCCAGGCACACAAGAGCUCAGUACAUUAUGAAGGAAUGCAUGAUGCAAGUUUAGAAUAUUGAUUUUUAAUUUGUGUUAGUGAUAGCUGAAGAAUCUGAAUAUCUUUUUAUGUUUGCAUUCGGGGUUUUUAAUUGGGAUUGCAUAAAGUAGCAGUCGUCCAACUGGCUCUUAUUUAUGGUGGGACCAAUCUGGCAGAACCGAACAGCCUGGAUGCAGAUGUUAAACUUCAUACUCUCCCUGGACUUUGGACAGUCACCUCCAAGAAACUCAAGAGUACCCAAUGUGAACAUCACUGUCCAAGAGGCUUUAAAUCAAUGUUGUCACAUUUGUUGCUUGAGUCACUUCUCGGAGUGAUACCCAGGCUUAGUAAUUCUGACUUUUGAAAUCUCCUGUCAUGAAUGAAUCUACACUGCACUCUAUUUCUUGCCCUGCCCUGGAAUUCAGCCAUUCCUGCACUGCAUUUCUUAAGGUGAAGAAGUGAAAGAGGAAGACACCAAUCCAAUUGAACAUGUAUUACUCUCUUCCAUAAUGCUAUUGUAUUAUAUUCUUUCCUUCUACUUUUUUUUGUUCUCCUGAUUUCUCUGCACAAAAGAGGGAAAUUCAUCCAAAGCCAUGGAAAGUUUCCUUGAAAGAUUUUUAUCUAGUCACACUUACAUACAGUGCAAUGUGCAUCUCUUACAGCAUUAUACAGUUUGGGAUUUGUUUUUAAUCCCAUGAGAAAUGCCGUAUCAGUGCUUUGGCAUAUAUUUGUUCCAAUUUCUACAUUGCUUGGGGAGGGAGAGAAGCUUUCUUUUUAUUAAAUAAAAUACACAUCUAUUUUAUUAAACAGACACCUCAAGCAUUAGUUGCUAAUGAAACAAAAAUAUAAAUAAAACAUGGAACUAUCCAAAUACUACAUGUUCUCCACAUUUGCCCCCAAAAUGUGCCUCAUCUCCCUGCACCUCCAAAUAAUAUUUCUAAUGUUUUCAUUUUAUUAGUUUUGCAAUGUCACUGUCAAGGUAGAAUUACUGGAUGGCUUAAGACAACUUUUGUAAAAUUUUCAAAUCCUAAAUUAAAAAAAAUCAUCUUUCAAUAAAACA